CCACAAACCAAGACAAGCAUUGCCAUAGUAUCCUGAAUACUAACUAUGAUUCUGACCUGAACCUGAGGACUUUUUUAUAACACUCUAACUGAACACUUACAAAGAUUACAAAUCAUCUGGUGUGUUAUUGGGAAAUAUUCAGGAUGAAGAGAAAAGAACUGAGAAUUGUGUUCAUACUGAGUAUCAUUCUGAGAUCUGUAACUGGAGAAACCACAACAUCAGCUACAACAUCAGCACCUACAAACGAUACAGCUACUACACCAACAAAUGCUACUACUGGUAAUGUAACAGUUUCGACAGAAUCUACAACACCAGCACUUACAAACGCUACAGCUACUACGCAAGCAAAUGCUACUACUGGUAAUGUAACAGUUUCGACAGAAUCUACAACACCAGCACUU